GACGAACGCUGGCGGCGUGCUUAACACAUGCAAGUCGAACGGAAAGGCCUGCUUUCCCUUGUGGAUUGCGGGUACUCGAGUGGCGAACGGGUGAGUAACACGUGAGUGAUCUGCCCCCAACUUGGGUAUAAGCCUGGGAAACUGGGUCUAAUUCCCGAUAGGACUGCAGGGUGGUGCCUGUGGUGGAAAACGAUUUUCUAGUGGUUGGGGAUGAGCUCGCGACCUAUCAGCUUGUUGGUGGGGUAAUGGCCUACCAAGGCGGCGACGGGUAGCCGGCCUGGGAGGGUGGACGGCGACAGUGGGACGGGGAUACGGCCCAGACUGCUACGGGAGGCAGCAGUGGGGAAUAUUGGGCAAUGGGCGGAAGCCUGAUGCAGCGACGCCGCGUGGGGGAUGACGGCCUUCGGGUUGUAAACUCCUUUCGACCGCGAGGAAGCCACCUGGUUGGAAGGGUGGUGACGGUAGUGGUAGAAGAAGCACCGGCUAACUACGUG
rnacentral:rRNA from 1 species